CCUACGGGUGGCAGCAGUAGGGAAUUUUCGUCAAUGGGGGGAACCCUGACCGAGCAACGCCGCGUGAAGGAAGAAGGAAUUCGUUCUGUAAACUUCUGUUAUAAAGGAAGAAAGACGGAUGGAGGAAAUGACAUCCGAGUGACGGUACUUUAUCAGAAAGCCACGGCUAACUACGUGCCAGCAGCGGCGGUAAUACGUAGGUGGCAAGGGUUAUCCGGAAUUAUUGGGCGUAAAGAGGGAGCAGGCGGCAGCAAAGGUCUGUGGUAAAAGACUGAAGCUUAACUUCAGUAAGCCAUGGAAACCGGGCGGCUAGAGUGCAGGAGAGGAUGGUGGAAUUCGGGGUGUAGCGGUGAAAUGCGUAGAUAUAUGGAGGAACACCAGUGGCGAAGGCGGCGAGCUGGCCUGCAACUGACGCUCAGUCACGAAAGCGUGGGGAGCAAAUAGGAUUAGAUACCCGAGUAGUC
rnacentral:rRNA from 1 species